rnacentral:lncRNA from 1 species
GCCGCCCUAACUUAUCCAGUCCGAUACGGAGGGCGCCGAUGCAGUAGAUGCCGCUGCAGCGGGCGGCUCUGUUAUCUGAUUGGGCGCCAGCGAUCGCAUGAUCUUGUUUAUGCGUAGGCGGCUCUUAUCUCUUGUGAGCGCGGACGGCUCGCCGGCUAGGUUUCGGUGUAGGUUUAGAAGUAAGCUUUAGUUUAGAAUUGGACGAAUAAAUGAACGGAGCGUUCAUAUCAACUCCGACACGAGUCGUAAAACGUGUAUUGAUAUAAUCAUAUUGUUGAGCCUUAAGGGCCAACGAAAUAGAGGGCAAUUACCCUCUCAACAUAAUCUUCGGUAGAAGACUCAGUUGCCAACCGCAACCACCGUCCCCCGCUACAAGAGCGGGCCACGGGAACCCGAUCGCUGCCGCCGGAGCCAACGCAACGCAUACCGCAGCUCGGACCAAAAAACCGCCAUAAAGUUAAUUGGCGCCCAUCGGGAUUUAGGAUCCACGUCCCCAAGAAAAAUAACAUGUAAGUGACUGUUCGGAAAAAAUAAAGCUUGUGAGAGAAUUUUGAUCUCCCCUUCGCUGAUCGUUUAUGAGUUGGGACUACAGAAACAAGGUCGAAUACGACAGCGACGAGAGCCUAGACUUAUUGUACCAGCCACCAGUCAGAAAAGUGCAGAAUCAAUUUAAAAUGGACCCAGCCAUGAUAAAAGCGUUAGUAGAAGGCGCAAUCAACACAGCCCUCGUCGAACAGGAACGACGACUGAGUGCAGAAUUUAGCAGGGAACUCGAAAAAGUUAGAAAUAGUGUGAGCGCUCUAACUGUAGGUGUCCCUCAGGUAGAAACUUAUAAGAGAGUGACCAUUGACACUAGUAUAAAAUGUGAAGUGAAACUAGAUAUCAUAAAAUCAGUACCAACUUUCAACGGGAAUCAUGAGGAAUAUGUGUCUUGCAGACAAUCUGCUCUAGAUGCGUACGAAGUUUUCAAAAACUACUCUGGUAGUCAGACA